UACGAAGGGGACUAGCGUUGUUCGGAAUUACUGGGCGUAAAGCGCACGUAGGCGGAUCGAUCAGUCAGGGGUGAAAUCCCAGGGCUCAACCCUGGAACUGCCUUUGAUACUGUCGAUCUGGAGUAUGGAAGAGGUGAGUGGAAUUCCGAGUGUAGAGGUGAAAUUCGUAGAUAUUCGGAGGAACACCAGUGGCGAAGGCGGCUCACUGGUCCAUUACUGACGCUGAGGUGCGAAAGCGUGGGGAGCAAACAGG
rnacentral:rRNA from 1 species